ACGCUGUAAACGAUGAUCACUCGUUGUUGGGCGGCGACGUUCAGCGGCUAAGCGAAAGCGAUAAGUGAUCCACCUGGGGAGUACGAUCGCAAGGUUGAAACUCAAAGGAAUUGACGGGGGCCCGCACAAGCGGAGGAGCAUGUGGUUUAAUUCGAUGAUACGCGAGGAACCUUACCCGGGCUUGAACGUAAGACGAAGACGCAGGAGACUGCGUCGCCUACGGGCGUCUUGCGAGGUGCUGCAUGGUUGUCGUCAGCUCGUGCCGUGAGGUGUUAGGUUAAGUCCUGCAACGAGCGCAACCCCUACUUCCAGUUACCAGCAAGUAAAGUUGGGGACUCUGGAGGAACUGCCUACGCAAGUAGAGAGGAAGGUGGGGAUGACGUCAAAUCAGCACGGCCCUUAUGUCCGGGGCUACACACGUGCUACAAUGGCGCACACAGAAGGCAGCGACCCCGCGAGGGGGAGCCAAUCCCCAAAGUGCGUCUCAGUUCGGAUCGGAGUCUGCAACCCGACUCCGUGAAGUUGGAUUCGCUAGUAAUCGCGCAUCAGCCAUGACGCGGUGAAUACGUUCCCGGGCCUUGUACACACCGCCCGUCAAGCCAUGGAAGAUGGUGGUACCUGAAGUCUGUACCCGCAAGGAGCGGCCUAAGGUAAAACUGUUAACUGGGGCU
rnacentral:rRNA from 2 species